UUCUUCUUGAUCCAAUGCUUGCUCCAGUAUCAACUUAUAGAAACUUCUUUACUUAGCCUUUGAAAUCCUCUCUUGACUUCUUCCUUGACUUCGUAUUCUCCUAGUUCCUUUCAUUGAUACCUUAAAAAUCAUACACUUAAACAACUCAUUAGUUCACUACUUAGUUUGCAUCUUUGUUUCUUUGUCAUCAUCAAAACUAGGGUUCAACAGAUCAGAUGGUCUUAGUUAUGAUAUUGAAAUAAGUUUGAGGGGUUGGUAUUAAAAGGUUUUAUUAGAAUAGCUUAUGUUGUUGAGCAUUGUUGGUAUCAUUUAGAAAAUCAUAACUAGCUCAUAAGGUUUAACUUGAUUACUAUCUAUUUGAAGAACGGUCGUUGAUUAUGUUAUUGUGUUGGGUGAAUUAUUUUGGAGUUCGAGCUGGAGUUGAAGAUCAAGAUUAUCAUAAAUGUUCUUGGAGGUUGCAUAUAGUUGUGCUUGAAUAUGACGUUUGUGUUGGGAGCUCACAGUGCAUUGGAAGUAAAGAGUUGGUUAUUAAAUUGUAGAUAUCCAAGUGAUUCAAAGGUUGUAUUUGGAUGUAUUCAAGUUCUUAGUGAAAGAUUUAAUAUUCUAUUGUUUUGGGAAUCUAGUAAUUAAGGUAUUAUGUAAUCUGUUAUUUGGUUUUGAAGUUAUUAUGUUGUGCGUGGGCCCAUAACUCACAGGUCCAGGAUCGUUUUAUAGUUAUGUUUUUCGCUGCGAAUGAAUAUAAUUCAAAGGUUAUUAAGUGUUAA